rnacentral:rRNA from 1 species
GACGAACGCUGGCGGCGCGCCUAACACAUGCAAGUCGAACGAGCGAGAGAGAGCUUGCUUUCUCAAGCGAGUGGCGAACGGGUGAGUAACGCGUGAGGAACCUGCCUCAAAGAGGGGGACAACAGUUGGAAACGACUGCUAAUACCGCAUAAGCCCACAGCUCGGCAUCGAGCAGAGGGAAAAGGAGUGAUCCGCUUUGAGAUGGCCUCGCGUCCGAUUAGCUAGUUGGUGAGGUAACGGCUUACCAAGGCGACGAUACAUAGCCGACCUGAGAGGGUGAUCGGCCACACUGGGACUGAGACACGGCCCAG